ACCGACGAGGGAUACAGGUAAGCCCGUGCCCCGAUCACCUCCGCCUCCCGGAUCCGAGCCGCGCCCCAAUCUCCACCGCCUCCUGUCUCUGAGCUCCGAUUUGAUCCACCGCGUGUACGAGAGGCGGCUCGGAAUGUGGGCCGGAGGGCGAGGCGGUGCCUCUUGAAGCAGUGGCGAGCGACCGACCUAGCGCGGGCCUCACCGGCCGAUGCGGAGAGUUCAUCCGUCGUGUUUUUAAGGCGAGGAGUCGAGCAGUUUUCCGUUUCAUUUAGGAAUUAAUGGCAGCCGAGGGAGCACCGUGGCGGCGGAUGGUAGAGGUUGUGGUAUUUUGGUUUGGGGACUAUUGGAGGCUGGUUCUGGAAUUUUUCAGGAAGAGGAAUUCAUGAGCCGGCUAGAUUUUUUUUGAGAAAAGGCGUAUUGCCAUCUUACAUCGCCCCAAGGGCAGGAUUACACUCGUUUGCUAGAACCUCUCGUAGGUCAUAUGGGACAUCUGCUACAUACAUAGCAUCCCCUGUCCUCCUUGCAUAUGCGGCCAUUUCAUGAGCCAAUUUGUUCCUGUUUCGUUUGACUGUGCUGAUUGACACCUCUUCAAAACUAUGCAUAAGGUAUCUCACGUCAGUAAUCAAAGGGAAUAGUGAGGAGAGAUUAGCAUCUUUGCUCUUCAGCA